UAGUGGUAGUGGUGGAGAAUGGCCAUGGCCAUGGACUCCUCCAAGAUUUCAGCCCUGCUUUUCAUUUUCACGCUCUUCAUUUCCUCAACCUCUCCCGUUCUGGCCUGUCCUUAUUGCAAGAACCCACCUAAACACAAGUCUCCCAAAGGAAAACCUCCCAAGGGGCCCAUCAAUCUUCCUCCUGAAAUUGUGAAACCGCCCCCACCGGUCACUGGAAAACCGCCUAUAACUCUUCCUCCAGUCAUUGGAAAGCCACCCGUGACACUCCCUCCCGUGGUCGGGAAGCCGCCCGUAACGCUCCCUCCUGUAAUCGGGAAGCCGCCCAUAACACUCCCUCCCGUCGUGGGGAAGCCACCCAUAACACUCCCUCCCGUCGUCGGGAAGCCACCCAUAACACUCCCUCCUGUCGUGGGGAAGCCACCCAUAACACUCCCUCCUGUAAUCGGGAAGCCGCCCAUAACAAUCCCUCCCGUUGUCGGGAAGCCACCCAUAACACUCCCUCCUGUCGUGGGGAAGCCACCCAUAACACUCCCUCCUGUAACUCUCCCUCCCGUUGUCGGGAAGCCACCCAUAACACUCCCUCCCGUUGUGGGGAAGCCACCCAUAACACUCCCUCCUGUAACUCUCCCUCCCGUUGUCGGGAAGCCACCCAUAACACUCCCUCCUGUCAUCGGGAAGCCACCCAUAACACUUCCUCCUGUUAUCGGAAAGCCCCCUAUAACACUCCCUCCCAUCAUUGGAAAGCCACCAAUCACGGUCCCUCCAAUUACGCUUCCACCAGUUCUCCCACCUGUGACUGGAACCCCACCCACUACGAACCCCCCCGGGUGUGGUUGCAGCCCACCUCCGAAGGAGGAAACCUGCCCCAUCGACACACUCAAGCUUGGAGCCUGCGUCGACCUUCUUGGGGGGUUGGUGCAUAUUGGUCUCGGAGACCCAGUGGCCAAUAGUUGCUGCCCAUUGCUUCAAGGGCUCGUAGAAGUCGAAGCUGCAGUUUGCUUGUGCACCACCAUCAAGCUCAAGCUCCUAAACCUCAAAAUCCUCGUGCCACUUGCUCUUCAACUUCUAGUUACUUGUGGAAAGACACCUCCUCCGGGUUUCACAUGCUCGCUUUAAAUUUAGUCAAGUAUCCUACCUUCUCAUCUCUAACCCUAACCCUAGAAGUGUUUUCCAUGCCUUCAUCCGUUCACAUGAUGGGGUAGAUUUAUUUCCUGAAAAUGAGAGAGAGAGAGAGAGAAAGAGGGUGGAUUGAUGAUAAAGACAUGAAAGGAUGUCUAAUCGCUGAUGUCUCCUACUGUUUUCCUUUGCUUUCUGUGUUUUGUCGCAUGACACGGUGCCUUUUUCUGUCUUGGUUUGUUGGGAUCUUUUUCAGCUGGUUGUGAAAGCCGAUGAAAUAAAGUUUGCCUUUUAUUGUUACUUGUUGCACUUAAGAAGACAAAGGAUUAUCAAACGAUGUUCGGUGCUGAUUAAUUUCUUUAGCAAUAUUAUUGAAAUCUCCUUCUCGGCAA